rnacentral:rRNA from 1 species
GAUGAAUGCUGGCGGCGCGCCUAACACAUGCAAGUCGAGCGGAAAGGCCCUUCGGGGUACUCGAGCGGCGGACGGCUGAGUAACGCGUGGGAACAUGCCCCAAAGUGAGGAAUAACUGCCCGAAAGGGUAGCUAAUACCGCAUAUGAUCUUCGGAUUAAAGGAUUUAUCCGCUUUGGGAGUGGCCCGCGUACGAUUAGGUAGUUGGUGAGGUAAAGGCUCACCAAGCCGACGAUCGUUAACUGGUCUGAGAGGAUGAUCAGUCAGACUGGAACUGAGACACGGUCCAGACUCCUACGGGAGGCAGCAGUGAGGAAUCUUCCACAAUGGGCGAAAGCCUGAUGGAGCGACGCCGCGUGCAGGAUGAAGGCCUUCGGGUUGUAAACUGCUUUUAUAAGUGAAGAAUAUGACGGUAACUUAUGAAUAAGCACCGGCUAACUACGUGCCAGCCGCCGCCGUA